rnacentral:rRNA from 1 species
GGCGCAGGCGGUUGUGUAAGCCAGACGUGAAAUCCCGGGGCUCAACCCCGGAACUGCAUUUGGAACUACAUAACUAGAGGAUAGGCGGAGAAAACGGAAUUCCACAUGUAGCGGUGAAAUGCGUAGAUAUGUGGAAGAACACCGGUGGCGAAGGCGGUUUUCUAGCUUAUUCCUGACGCUGAGGCCCGAAAGCUAGGGGAGCGAACA